GGGGGUGAAAUUAACAGGCAAGUUGGUGAGCUUUGGUGAAGCAAACAACCUUACAUGAUGUGAGUGGUCCUUGUGCCCAGUUGAAGCCGUGAGUAAAACAAAGUCUGACAUAGCCUUGAGCAAGAAAGAACUCUACCUCCAGACAACUUCGGGGGCAGAUGCACUGUGCACUGGAGAGGCAGAGCAUCCUGCCUUCCACAGCCGUGCACACCAGUCCCUGUGCACAAGUGGCCACCCACCCAGCGAAUCGACGUGGUGUGCUUAUCAAAAUCUGUGUGUCUGUGGGCCAGAGCCAAAUCCAGGAUAUUGACGGAUGUCCUUACUGGUAAGGCUGUCUGGGACUCUCAGUGAAAAGACCGGCCAUGUGUGCCUCCAGAUGGUACUAGAUCCAGGUGCUAGAACAAGAUGAGCAAGUGAAUCUCUCAUACUUCAGAUCCUUCAAGGAUCUUGAAAAGAGCGCUGGAAUCAAAGGCGAACGCCACCACUGCCCGGCCUUGUUUUGUUUUUAAAGACAGUUUUCGGCACACAGAGAGGCUGUGAGUUAGGACGGGGGUUUCUUGCCGUUGCCACCAUUCUCAUUGACACGUUAUGCUGCACACAGCAGAGCCCCAUCCUGAAUGCCCAGCGGUGCCCACAGCCAGGAGGAGCAUUCGAUGUGUGAUGACUCAUCUCGUGCAUCAGACGCUCUCUAAAGUUCCCACAGAUUAUACCAUGGCUUAGUGAGUGCGAUUCUAAGACAGUUCCAAAAGACUUUUCAAUCCGUGGGAGUUUCAAAGUGGAUUCUCAGACAAACAUGGGGAGGACUGAGGCAGGCUUGGACACGCACAGAAUCAGACAACGAUGGUCCGGAGUUCAAAUCCCUGCAACCACAUGGUGGCUCACAACCAACUGUAAUGAGAUCUGGCGCCCUCUUCUGGAGUGUCUGAAGACAGAUACAGUGUACUUACAUAUAGUAAAUAAAUAAAUCUUAAAAAAAAAAAAAA
rnacentral:lncRNA from 1 species